ACGAACGCUGGCGGCGUGCCUAAUACAUGCAAGUAGAACGCACAGUUUAUACCGUAGCUUGCUACACCAUAGACUGUGAGUUGCGAACGGGUGAGUAACGCGUAGGUAACCUGCCUGGUAGCGGGGGAUAACUAUUGGAAACGAUAGCUAAUACCGCAUAAUAUUAAUUAUUGCAUGAUAAUUAAUUGAAAGGUGCAAUUGCACCACUACCAGAUGGACCUGCGUUGUAUUAGCUAGUAGGUGAGGUAACGGCUCACCUAGGCGACGAUACAUAGCCGACCUGAGAGGGUGAUCGGCCACACUGGGACUGAGACACGGCCCAGACUCCUACGGGAGGCAGCAGUAGGGAAUCUUCGGCAAUGGACGAAAGUCUGACCGAGCAACGCCGCGUGAGUGAAGAAGGUUUUCGGAUCGUAAAGCUCUGUUGUAAGAGAAGAACGGGUGUGAGAGUGGAAAGUUCACACUGUGACGGUACCUUACCAGAAAGGGACGGCUAACUACGUG
rnacentral:rRNA from 1 species